UCACUCUUCACUCUUCACUCUUCAAUGGCCGAUGCUCUUGUCUCUCAAACCUAGGGCCGAAAACUACCGUUAAAACUCCUCAAACUGCCUGACUGAAUCGAAUCCCUUUCUCUUCAGCCCUGUUUCUCCGUUGUCGUCCUUUUCUACCUUCGACUUCGAGUAAAGGGACGCUGCCAAAAGGUCGCCUGACGCCGCCGACGCCGGAGCCGGGUGGUUUAGCUAUCAAGAUGUCAAGUACAGGGGAUAAUACAGCUACUACAGCUGCAAGCCCAAAUGUUGAUCAUUCAUCAUCAAUGGAUCCAAAAAUUGUUGCUGGAGCUUCUGAAACUGAGACAAAUCAAGUACCACCUCCUCCAACAUUCGAGACAAAAGUGUCUACCAAGAGCAGUUUGACAAUGGAGCAUUCUAUUAUUACUAUUGAAGAUUGAUGAUUCUUGAAGAUUGUGCUCCUUCAUGUGUUGUAGAAGGUUGAGAUUGUUGAAACAUUUGAGAUUGUUGAAACUGUCAUGGCAUGGCUAGGGGAGGAAAAUGAAGACAGCUUCUUGAUUUAUGCCUAGUCAAUGCAUUAUGCCAUGUUUGCUGGAUUUGAGAAUGUCUAUAUAGUGUACAUUUUUCUCAUUUAUAUGCCCUUUUUGGAAGUUA